UACGGAGGGUGCAAGCGUUAUCCGGAUUCACUGGGUUUAAAGGGUGCGUAGGUGGGCAGGUAAGUCAGUGGUGAAAUCUCCGAGCUUAACUCGGAAACUGCCGUUGAUACUAUUUGUCUUGAAUAUUGUGGAGGUAAGCGGAAUAUGUCAUGUAGCGGUGAAAUGCCUAGAUAUGACAUAGAACACCAAUUGCGAAGGCAGCUUACUACACAACGAUUGACGCUGAGGCACGAAAGCGUGGGGAUCAAACAGG
rnacentral:rRNA from 1 species